CAAAGCCACGUGGGGGCCGCGGCUCCGCCCGCUUCCACCCGCCUUCGGAGGGUCGAAGGCCCGCGCCCGGCCCUCCCGUGUGCCUGGAAGAUGCCAGAAUUUCUAACCGAAAAAAACAGGGCUCUACCUUGGUUUCUCAUACAUAACUUCAGUGAUAACAGCAGCCUUCGCUCCUGCUAAAGGGUCUGGCCUGCCACCCCAGGGCAACCCCCAAAAGCAGGUGCAUCCCACCCAAAGGCCUUAAUUACCAAGGCUACUGAUGUGGAACACAGGAUUUAGGCUGGCACAUGAUGCACUUGUUCAAAGGCUGAGUAAAUGAAGCAAUUUUGUGAUUCUCUAAUCUGAACUCAACCGAAUUUUUAACCUGGCAUCAGCUCUUACCUUCUUUAACCUCUUGAAUGAUUUCUUCAGGAAGGAUAAAAUUCUUCUCUGAAUUAGGGAAUGGAAGAAUCUCUGACUCAUGCUGACAUCGAGUACAAUAAAGUACAAUUUGUUUUUAAAGAAACAAAGAAAAAAGGUUUGUCAAUAAGGUCAGGGGCUUUGCCUAAAGAAAUAAGAACCUCACAACCUAUGGAACCAGCUACCAAAGGAGUUUGUGCAAUCCCUAUCACUGAAAAAAAUCUUAAAGACAAGAGCAACAAUAUCAUUUUAGUGGAAUUAGGCACAGAUCUUUGUGAGGCACUGGCUGCUGGUCCCUGGUUUAUGGUCCCUUCUGGAUAUGUGAUGUUAUAAAUGCAAUAAACUACAUGGUUAUCAAUCAA